AUUGAACGCUGGCGGCAGGCCUAACACAUGCAAGUCGAACGGUAACAGGAAGAAGCUUGCUUCUUUGCUGACGAGUGGCGGACGGGUGAGUAAUGUCUGGGAAACUGCCUGAUGGAGGGGGAUAACUACUGGAAACGGUAGCUAAUACCGCAUAACGUCGCAAGACCAAAGAGGGGGACCUUCGGGCCUCUUGCCAUCGGAUGUGCCCAGAUGGGAUUAGCUAGUAGGUGGGGUAACGGCUCACCUAGGCGACGAUCCCUAGCUGGUCUGAGAGGAUGACCAGCCACACUGGAACUGAGACACGGUCCAGACUCCUACGGGAGGCAGCAGUGGGGAAUAUUGCACAAUGGGCGCAAGCCUGAUGCAGCCAUGCCGCGUGUAUGAAGAAGGCCUUCGGGUUGUAAAGUACUUUCAGCGGGGAGGAAGGGAGGAAAGUUAAUACCUUUGCUCAUUGACGUUACCCGCAGAAGAAGCACCGGCUAACUCCGUG
rnacentral:rRNA from 1 species